GGCCAGACUCCUACGGGAGGCAGCAGUGGGGAAUAUUGCACAAUGGGGGAAACCCUGAUGCAGCGACGCCGCGUGAGUGAAGAAGCAUUUCGGUAUGUAAAGCUCUAUCAGCAGGGAAGAAAAUGACGGUACCUGACUAAGAAGCCCCGGCUAACUACGUGCCAGCAGCCGCGGUAAUACGUAGGGGGCAAGCGUUAUCCGGAUUUACUGGGUGUAAAGGGAGCGUAGACGGCAUGGCAAGUCAGAUGUGAAAGCCCGGGGCUCAACCCCGGGACUGCAUUUGAAACUGUCAGGCUGGAGUGCAGGAGAGGUAAGUGGAAUUCCUAGUGUAGCGGUGAAAUGCGUAGAUAUUAGGAGGAACACCAGUGGCGAAGGCGGCUUACUGGACUGUAACUGACGUUGAGGCUCGAAAGCGUGGGGAUCAAACAGGAUUAGAUACCCCGGUAC
rnacentral:rRNA from 1 species